GAACCAGUACCGUGAGGGAAAGGCGAAAAGAACCCCGGCGAGGGGAGUGAAAAAGAACCUGAAACCGUGUACGUACAAGCAGUGGGAGCACAGGUUUACCUGUGUGACUGCGUACCUUUUGUAUAAUGGGUCAGCGACUUAUAUUCUGUAGCAAGGUUAACCGUAUAGGGGAGCCGGAGGGAAACCGAGUCUUAACCGGGCGUUAAGUUGCAGGGUAUAGACCCGAAACCCGGUGAUCUAGCCAUGGGCAGGUUGAAGGUUGGGUAACACUAACUGGAGGACCGAACCGACUAAUGUUGAAAAAUUAGCGGAUGACCUGUGGCUGGGGGUGAAAGGCCAAUCAAACCGGGAGAUAGCUGGUUCUCCCCGAAAGCUAUUUAGGUAGCGCCUCGUGAAUUCAUCUCCGGGGGUAGAGCACUGUUUCGGCUAGGGGGCCAUCCCGGCUUACCAACCCGAUGCAAACUGCGAAUACCGGAGAAUGUUAUCACGGGAGACACACGGCGGGUGCUAACGUCCGUCGUGAAGAGGGAAACAACCCAGACCGCCAGCUAAGGUCCCAAAGUCAUGGUUAAGUGGGAAACGAUGUGGGAAGGCCCAGACAGCCAGGAUGUUGGCUUAGAAGCAGCCAUCAUUUAAAGAAAGCGUAAUAGCUCACUGGUCGAGUCGGCCUGCGCGGAAGAUGUAACGGGGCUAAACCAUGCACCGAAGCUGCGGCAGCGACACUGUGUGUUGUUGGGUAGGGGAGCGUUCUGUAAGCCUGUGAAGGUGUGUCGUGAGGCAUGCUGGAGGUAUCAGAAGUGCGAAUGCUGACAUAAGUAACGAUAAAGCGGGUGAAAAGCCCGCUCGCCGGAAGACCAAGGGUUCCUGUCCAACGUUAAUCGGGGCAGGGUGAGUCGACCCCUAAGGCGAGGCCGAAAGGCGUAGUCGAUGGGAAACGGGUUAAUAUUCCCGUACUUGGUGUUACUGCGAAGGGGGGACGGAGAAGGCUAUGUUGGCCGGGCGACGGUUGUCCCGGUUUAAGCGUGUAGGUGUGUGUUCCAGGUAAAUCCGGUUCACUUUAACACUGAGGCGUGACGACGAGGCACUACGGUGCUGAAGCAACAAAUGCCCUGCUUCCAGGAAAAGCCUCUAAGCAUCAGGUAACAUCAAAUCGUACCCCAAACCGACACAGGUGGUCAGGUAGAGAAUACCAAGGCGCUUGAGAGAACUCGGGUGAAGGAACUAGGCAAAAUGGUGCCGUAACUUCGGGAGAAGGCACGCUGACACGUAGGUGAAGUGAUUUACUCAUGGAGCUGAAGUCAGUCGAAGAUACCAGCUGGCUGCAACUGUUUAUUAAAAACACAGCACUGUGCAAACACGAAAGUGGACGUAUACGGUGUGACGCCUGCCCGGUGCCGGAAGGUUAAUUGAUGGGGUCAGCGCAAGCGAAGCUCCUGAUCGAAGCCCCGGUAAACGGCGGCCGUAACUAUAACGGUCCUAAGGUAGCGAAAUUCCUUGUCGGGUAAGUUCCGACCUGCACGAAUGGCGUAAUGAUGGCCAGGCUGUCUCCACCCGAGACUCAGUGAAAUUGAACUCGCUGUGAAGAUGCAGUGUACCCGCGGCAAGACGGAAAGACCCCGUGAACCUUUACUAUAGCUUGACACUGAACAUUGAGCCUUGAUGUGUAGGAUAGGUGGGAGGCUUUGAAGCGUGGACGCCAGUCUGCGUGGAGCCGACCUUGAAAUACCACCCUUUAAUGUUUGAUGUUCUAACGUGGACCCGUGAUCCGGGUUGCGGACAGUGUCUGGUGGGUAGUUUGACUGGGGCGGUCUCCUCCUAAAGAGUAACGGAGGAGCACGAAGGUUGGCUAAUCCUGGUCGGACAUCAGGAGGUUAGUGCAAUGGCAUAAGCCAGCUUGACUGCGAGCGUGACGGCGCGAGCAGGUGCGAAAGCAGGUCAUAGUGAUCCGGUGGUUCUGAAUGGAAGGGCCAUCGCUCAACGGAUAAAAGGUACUCCGGGGAUAACAGGCUGAUACCGCCCAAGAGUUCAUAUCGACGGCGGUGUUUGGCACCUCGAUGUCGGCUCAUCACAUCCUGGGGCUGAAGUAGGUCCCAAGGGUAUGGCUGUUCGCCAUUUAAAGUGGUACGCGAGCUGGGUUUAGAACGUCGUGAGACAGUUCGGUCCCUAUCUGCCGUGGGCGCUGGAGAACUGAGGGGGGCUGCUCCUAGUACGAGAGGACCGGAGUGGACGCAUCACUGGUGUUCGGGUUGUCAUGCC
rnacentral:rRNA from 1 species